GCUGAUUGGUCGCUAUUUAGCGACUAAUUAUUUUAGUCGCUAAAUAUGGUCGCUAAAUAUCCCCGCCCAAAAAGUUGUCGCAAUUUCGUCGCAAAUAUGGUCGCUAAUAACUCGCGCCAUUAAUUCCCGCUAAAUUAGCGACCAUUUUAUAUUUGGUCGCUAAAUAGCGACCAAUUAACAACCAAAAAUUGGUCGUUAAGCUUUUUGUUAAAUAAAAAUAUUAUUUCAUUCAUUCAGUCGCAGAAUG
rnacentral:lncRNA from 1 species